rnacentral:rRNA from 2 species
UCCGUAGGUGAACCUGCGGAAGGAUCAUUACAGUAU